UGCAGGAGGUCUGAGUGGUGGCCCAGUAUGGAAUUCUUUCCAAAGAUGUCACUAGAGUCAAAAGCAUUACAACUCCGUGCAGCCAGGUUUGUGCUCCAGAAGUACCACAAAAGGGAGAGUGUGACAGCUAUGCUCCAAGAACUCCAGUGGAAUUCCCUUGAAUGAAGAGACAAGCAGCAGGCCUGGUCAUGCUUAACAAGACACAACACAGCAUUGUCGCCAUCAACCCAGCUCUCUAUCUGUCACCCAUGAUGCCAAGUAUCACCAGAUCAUUCCAUCCCAGCAAACUACAGCUCAUCACCAGCCGCACCCAACUCCACGGGAACUCCUUCUUCCCCAGAUCAGUUCGCCUAUGAAACACCCUCCCAGAUGUACCAACCACCAACCAGCUGCUAAGCAGAGCUGCUGAAUUUUACUUGCACUUUGUUGGAUCCUGCACAAAUGUUAUUUUUCUUCGUCUUCGUUUCGACACCAUUGUUUCUUCAAGUUAUUUUUGUCUUCAAGCACCUAUAAGUCUGCACUGCAUAUGAGCACCAAUCACCCCCUUGGCAUUACAUCCAGACUGAUGGAUCCUGCCGAGUUAUCGAUGUAAACUGUCUGCACAGUUAAUGAACACUUCAAGAUGUCACGAAGACUCACAUCAUAUUUGCUGAGUUUAGGGGCUAUAGGAGCAGCCGGUGGAGUUGGUUGGGCACUCAUGAAACUUAUUUCACCAACUCGAGAAGACAUGCUAAAGGUACUGCCAGAGUCGGAUCCGAAGGUUAUGACUGAAUCCAGACGCAGGAGCCAGGCAUUUCUGGAUGCCAUUAAGGCCGCAGCAGAGAACCCCAACCCCAUCCACAUGACAUCGUCACCCCACACACUGACCAAGAAGGACUGAGAGAAGUCAGGGAACCAGAACUGUGAUGAGAGCGGCAGAAUCUUUUCGGGGAUCUGCCAGGGUUUCUCUAGCAAAAGGCGAACACUGGGUCCUCUUUGACGGCAUAUCGGGUGACAGGGACCCAUUUAGGGCAGAGACCCUACACUUUGCUAUUCCGUGACAUGCUCAAGACUCUUACAUCCAGUCUGAGGAGACUAUAUUUAAUGUUAGGAUUAUCAGGGAUGUACGUCCUCCUGCAACUGCCUGAUUUCUGGCUUUUUUUUUUCAAAUUGUAAAUAACAUAGUGCAGUGGCACCAUACAUGUACAUGUGUGCAUACUCAUCUUUAUAUCUCAAUUUUCAGGCAAAAACAUCACAUCCCUGAAUUAUGCAAGACGGAAGCAUGGAGGAGAAACGUAAAAAGGGCGUGUACAAAUGUCAAUUAUGUGUAUUUGAACCCUGAUCCUCCCAGAUCCUUCAGAAUCCACCGGGAUUAAAGGAUCCUGCAGGAUUGAGGAAGGUAGAGCCUUGGAACGUGAUGGGUUCGACCUACCAAGUUGAAAGUUGAAUGAGCAAGCUGCCAUUUGUUUCCUGCAGUGGGUUAGAUUUUGGAGGAUUCAGGAAAGUGUUUUAGCAACAUGCAAAAAAAUUGUUUAUGCGUGGCAUCCUUUGAUUUCAGUAGAAUUCAACUCUUGAAUUCACUUUGAAGCCCAUGCCAAUUUGUGUCCUACAAGAGAAUAUUUGCUUAUUACAGAGCCAGAAAUUUAUUGGCGUUGCUUGUCAUUCAUACAUCCUGAACAUCAUAUUUCCAAGGACUGCAUUGACUCCCUUGUAGGUUUUAAACUUUCACUAAUAAUAGGUUUGAAAGAACUUGAUCUGACUUUAAAGCUAUAGUCCAUCAUUUGCAACUAUCCGAAAAGUAGUUGGCAUAAUUAUUGUUGAAAAACAUACU